rnacentral:rRNA from 1 species
AACGAACGCUGGCGGCAUGCCUAACACAUGCAAGUCGAACGAGAUCUUCGGAUCUAGUGGCGCACGGGUGCGUAACGCGUGGGAAUCUGCCCCUUGCUUCGGAAUAACAGUGAGAAAUUACUGCUAAUACCGGAUGAUGUCUCCGGACCAAAGAUUUAUCGGCAAGGGAUGAGCCCGCGUAGGAUUAGGUAGUUGGUGGGGUAAUGGCCUACCAAGCCGACGAUCCUUAGCUGGUCUGAGAGGAUGAUCAGCCACACUGGGACUGAGACACGGCCCAGACUCCUACGGGAGGCAGCAGUGGGGAAUAUUAGACAAUGGGCGAAAGCCUGAUCCAGCAAUGCCGCGUGAGUGAUGAAGGCCUUAGGGUUGUAAAGCUCUUUUACCAGGGAUGAUAAUGACAGUACCUGGAGAAUAAGCUCCGGCUAACUCCGUG